GAGGAGUGGAUGUAGGUGUAAGGUUGGCAUCGAACUACUAUAAAUUCUUUGUAUUUGUUGUGCUUGCCUCUCUUAUCUUGUUCUUUGUGCUCAUUACAUGCUUACUUCUUAUUAGUGUUUGAUUUUGCUUCUAUUGCAAGUUGAUACAGUUCACUCUUCACCUUGGCACAUUGCUUAAGUAGUUCAAUCUUUAAAAUUUUAAAAAGAUCCAAUUCACCACCCCUAUUGGGCUCCA
rnacentral:lncRNA from 1 species